AUUGAAAUACCGGUUCCAGUACGAUCCCCGAAGUUAAGCAACGCCGAGCCUGGUCAGUACCUAGAUGGGUGACCCCUUUCGAAUACCAGAUACUGUAAG